rnacentral:rRNA from 1 species
UACAGAGGUCUCAAGCGUUGUUCGGAUUCAUUGGGCGUAAAGGGUGCGUAGGUGGCGCCGUAAGUCAGGUGUGAAAUUUCGGAGCUUAACUCCGAAACUGCAUUUGAUACUGCGGUGCUUUGAGGACUGGAGAGGAGACUGGAAUUUACGGUGUAGCAGUGAAAUGCGUAGAGAUCGUAAGGAAGACCAGUGGCGAAGGCGGGUCUCUGGACAGUUCCUGACACUGAGGCAACGAAGGCCAGGGGGAGCAAACGGGG